rnacentral:lncRNA from 1 species
ACACUCCAUUGUCUGUAUCUGCACUGAUACAGAUAUAUGAAAUUAAUCCAACACUUCUCUCAGCUUCUUUUGCUCCCACCUUUCUUUGGUCAGACAAGCAAUUGGAACAUAUUCAUUGGUUAUAAAAAAAAAAACUAGCAAACCAUAAUCAGUAAUGACACAGACAUGAACCUCAAUCAUUUGUUACAGAUUGACAGUUUUUAUUUACUGAGGAUAUAGAGAGUUCAUCAGAGAUAGAUAAUCCAGGAUUUGAUUGUGUGUCUUCUGUCCUGAAUUCUAUUCUUCAAUUCUAAAAGCACAGGGUAGUUCAAGACACUACAUGGCUCAUUUGCAUAUGAUAAUGAGUUCUUUAAGCCUUUAAUGGGUCUUGCAAGUACCAAAGAAAAGCAGUGUUUGAAAAACAUAUUUCCAUUUCCACAUAAAUGUGUCACCUGGUCUUAUUUUCAUAUUCAGAAUAAGUGUAACACGGACACUGGCAAUGCAAAUUUCCUGUCUCACAUACAUGAAAGGAUAGCAUCUUCUAAUUUCUUUAGUCUUUAGUCAUUUGCUUGGGCUGUCAAGGAUGGAUCCAGUUAAUAACAGUUGCACAGGUGCAUUUUAUCUAUACUACCACAUUAACAUCUAUUUCAUAAGAAAAGAACUGAUGACACUGACUCACUUUAUAGGCAACAAGCAAUCAUUCAAUCAUUGCCAUUAUUAUCAUGGUCAAUGGCAACUUUUAAUCAACAGCAACGAAUCUAUAACUCCUCUUGAGUUGGCAAUCUGCAGCAAGACAGAACUCAGAAUCCAGUGUUUCUUCCAGCUCCUCCUGCUCUUCAGAUCCUGUGAAUGUUGCAGACCAGGACAAAGCAUUUCAUGGGUUACCUGAAUUACUUGAUAAAUGUUGGUGGAUAAAAAGCUUUUUCCAUUGUGAACCAUCUCCACCAACUGUUGGCAGAAAAACACUAUCUGCAAGCAG